GUGCUACUGGGCUGAAACUGACACUGAGGGACGAAAGCUAGGGUAGCGAAAGGGAUUAGAUACCCCUGUAGUCCUAGCCGUAAACGAUGGAUACUAGGCGUGGCUUGUAUCGACCCGAGCCGUGCCGAAGCUAACGCGUUAAGUAUCCCGCCUGGGGAGUACGCACGCAAGUGUGAAACUCAAAGGAAUUGACGGGGGCCCGCACAAGCGGUGGAGUAUGUGGUUUAAUCCGAUGCAACGCGAAGAACCUUACCAAGGCUUGACAUCCCUGGAAUCCUGCGGAAACGUGGGAGUGCCUUAGGGAGCCAGGAGACAGGUGGUGCAUGGCUGUCGUCAGCUCGUGUCGUGAGAUGUUGGGUUAAGUCCCGCAACGAGCGCAACCCUCGUUUUUAGUUGCCAUCAUUAAGUUGGGCACUCUAGAGAGACUGCCGGUGUCAAACCGGAGGAAGGUGGGGAUGACGUCAAGUCAUCAUGCCCCUUACGCCUUGGGCUACACACGUACUACAAUGGUCGGGACAACGGGCAGCGAGCUCGCGAGAGUAAGCGAAUCCCAUCAAACCCGGCCUCAGUUCAGAUUGCAGGCUGCAACUCGCCUGCAUGAAGGAGGAAUCGCUAGUAAUCGCAGGUCAGAAUACUGCGGUGAAUUCGUUCCCGGGCCUUGUACACACCGCCCGUCACACCAUGGGAGCUGGUCACGCCCGAAGUCGUUACUCUAACCUUAGGGAGGAGGGCGCCGAAGGCAGGGCUAGUGACUGGGGUGAAGUCGUAACAAGGUAGCCGUACCGGAAGGUGUGGCUGGAUCACCUCCUUAAAG
rnacentral:rRNA from 1 species